AAAUGCUAGUUUUCCUCAACGUUUGCAACUCGAUAGGUAGAUAGGCUGUAGACGUAAGACCGAUAAGACCUCGUAGAUACAGUUUCGAUUCCGGCCCCGGCGCCGCCGAUAUUCUGUGCAGGAUAUUCGACGCCGUUGCCAUCGGUUCUGAUCGGCAAGAAUCUGGUGUCAGGUCUGCUCCUCACGGAUUCUUUUUUUUUUCCGUCCGUCGCGUCCGAUUUUCGCCGCCAUAUCUUAUCGACGAGAGUGUUGAUUCCGUUCGCGGUUUCUUUUUUAUUUAUUUUCCGUCACGUCCGUUUUUUUUUCGUUUCAAACGUUUUUUGUGAAAACGUUUUCGAGUGCGUUUUAUUAAUUCAUAACUUUAAUCGUAUUAUUUAGUAUAUGUUAUUUAAUAUUCGAUUUGUUUUACCGAAAAAUCGGAUGUUUUCAUUACAUAUAUUGAUUUGAUGUGAAAAAGUUUAAUGAUAUUACUAAACGCACACAACUAUAAGACGAAGAAAACAUGGGAGAUAGCUGUUGUUUGAUUUAAUUAUACUUUUUUCAAUGGAAAGGAAUUGAAUUCAACGUGUCUUUGGUGCCAAUGAUACUAUUCAAAACAUUCACAGCUAUAAAAUAAUGAAUACUUGUUUUAGUAAUGAGUCUUACAAUAUCAGUCGUUUCCUUGGACGAAAGGAAAUGAAAACUUUUCUGAUAUAAUGUAAAUAAGAAAACCCAGGAUAUAGCUGUUGUAUGUUUUCAUCUCACUUUUUUCUUUGAAAUGGCAUUGAAUUCAAUUUGUUAUUGGUGCUAAUGAUACUAUUCAAAACAAACACAAUUAUAAAAUAAAGAAAACAUGAAUGGAAUUGAAUUCAAUGUGUUAUUGGUGCUAAUGAUACUAUUAAAAACAAAUACAGCUAUAAAAUAAAGAAAACAUGUAAAAAAAGUCUUACAGUAACAGUCCUUAUACUUAGAUGAAAGGAAAUGAAAACUAAUAUGAUUUUAUGGAAAUAAGAAGAACCAGGAGAGAACUGUUGAAUGUUUUUAUUGUACUUUAUUCUUUGGAAUUGAAUGGAAUUCAAUGUGUUAUUGGUGCUAAUGAUACUAUUAAAAACAAAUACAGCUAUAAAAUAAAGAAAACAUGAUAUUUUCAAAACAUCCAAGAUUUCAGAAUUUAAUCAAUUUUUCAAACAUCAUCGUCAGAAACCAAAUUUGAAUGAAGAAAUUCCAUUUAAUUUUCAAAAAGCUUUCUUUAGAAGUGAUGGCUCUGAAUGAAAAUGGUUAACCUAUAAUAAAAGUCCAAAACAAUUAUUUUGCUAUUUGUGUAUCGCAUUUUUUCUUCUGAAAGUAAUAACUUCACUUGAGACAUGGAUGUAUGGAGACAUACUUAUAUUCGAAUUGAUGAACAUUAAAAAAGCACAACACAUAAAAAUUGUGUUACAGCUUAUAUUCUCCAUUCAAAUGAAUAUGAUAUAAGUUCUCUACUUUUCUCUGAGUGUAAAAAAGAAAUUAGAAAAAAAUCGUGAAAUUGUUGCAUGAGUGAUCAAAACUGUGAAACUAAUAGGAAAACAUGGAUUGAGUUACAGAGGAAAUCAAUUUGAAGCGGUAUAUACAUUAAAUAAUCCAUUUAUUGACCAUGGAAAUUUUUUAGAAAUCGUAUUGUUUUUAGCAAAAUAUGAUUUUCAAAUGAAAGAUCACUUGGAAACUGUAAUAAAGAAGAGUCGCAAAGCCCAUGAAAGUGGAAAUAAAGGACGAGGAGGACUUGUUACUUUUCUUUCUAAGACCACAGUUGAUUAUGUUAUUGCAGCAAUAAGUCGUUUAAUUAAAAAAUCAAUUUGUGAUGAAGUUGAAAAUGCUAAAAUGUACCUAUGCAGUUAUGCUGGAUACCACUCAAGACAUUACAUCAUCUGAUCAAUGUGCAGUAGUUUUAAGAUAUGUUGAUGAUAAUGGUGUUAAUGAAAGGUUAAUUGCCGUUAUAAAUUAUUCAGAUUCAUCAGGUAAAGGCAUGCAUAAUCUAUUACAAAAUGUUUUACUUUCUAAUAAUUUGAAUAUAAAAAAACUGUAUUGCCAACACAACUGACAGUGCAGCUAAUAUGUUAGGGGAAUAAAAUGGAUUCUAACCAUGGCUUAAUGAAUCAUCUCCCCAUCAAAUACAUGUUCGGUGUUAUAGUCAUGUAUUAAAUUUAGUUUUAUCGGAUGCUUCCAAAUCAUCAUUGGCUGCUGUAUCUCUUUUUCAUUUAUGUAAUAGUUUAGCUGUUUUUUUUAAAGAUUCACAUAGGCGUAUGAGAAUUUGGAUAGAACGAUGCCAUAGUUUAUAUCAGCAUUUACAAACUAUUGGUGAAACAAGGUAGUGGAGUAAAGAAAUUGCAAUUGUUAAAAUAUUCGGAUAUACUGAAGGCCCAUGUAAGAGUAAUGCACUGUAUAUUGAUGUUUUAAUGGUUUUAUAUGACAUUAUAAAUUAUGAAAAAACUAAUCCGGAUAUAAGGAUCAAAGCUGAGACUAUGAAAAAUAUGUUAUUACAUUUUUCUACAAUAUUAACUGCAUAUAUAUAUAUAUAUAUAUACAUACAUAAGAAUUUUUAGUAUUACAGGCUCUUUAUCAAGAUAUCUGCAAACCAAAUCUAUGGACUUGAUUAAAGCUCAGGACCUAGUUGGUGAAGUACUUGAACAAUUAGAAAAAGUUCAAAGAAAUAUAGAAUGGAUAAAAUUAUCUACAGAGACAUUUGUUGUUUGGGCUAAGAUGAGUUGGAUAUACGAUUUGAUGGUGAUAGUCCUAUGUCUGUGAAUGAAACAUUAUCUAGCAUAAAGACCAGAAAGAAAAAAAUGUUACCUUGUGAGAUAAGUAGAGAUGUUGUACACGAUAAUUAAUUUAAAAAAUAUGAAAUAAAAAUUCAUAAUAAGAUAUUAGAUACAGUUGUUGAGAGUAUUAAAAAAAGAUUUAUAAAACAGAAAAUUGUAUAAUGAUUUAUCAUGCUUGUCGCUAAGCUAUUUUUCAUACAUAGUUCAAAAUGGAUUACCUGAUCAAGUAUUGACUACUUUAUGUGAUAAGUUAAAAAGCUUAAAUACAAAUAUAACUUACAACAGUCUAAAGGAUGAACUAAUUCAUCUUGCCAAAAAUUGGGUUAAAUUGAAAAAGUCUUGCUGAAUAAUUUGCUGCUUCAUACUCAUUAGAACUAAAUGAAGAAGAAGAUGACAUUAAAUCUAAAAUUAAUCUUGAAUCUGAAAAUGUAACUUGCAAGAGUUGUAAAAAUUGUGUUGUUUGUUGCUAUAAUAUUUUACAAAAAUACAAAUUGAAUUGUGAUACAUAUUCAAAUUUAUUUCUGGCUUACAAAUAUGUGUUAACACUAUCUUCUAAACAAGUUUCAUGUGAAAGGUGUUUUUAAUUUCUAAAAAAUAUUAAAACAAGACUUCGCAGUCAACUGUCAGAUCCAAAGUUAAAAGCAUUCAUGUUAAUAGCUAUCAAAAAAUAGAAAUUAAUUUUAUUAGAUCCGGAUACAAUUAUUGAAAAAUUAAAAAAAGAAAAUUCACUAUUAAAAAAAAACUCUUCUUAUAGAUUUGAUUAGGUAAAUCUGUUAAAAAAGUUAUAUUUAUUUUUAUUUGUAGUAUAGAUAGUAUAUUAUG